AGAGUUUGAUCCUGGCUCAGAUUGAACGCUGGCGGUAUGCUUAACACAUGCAAGUCGAACGCGAAAGCACCUUCGGGUGUAAGUAGAGUGGCGGACGGGUGAGUAAGGCAUGGGAAUCUGCCCUAUAGCGGGGGAUAACUUGGGGAAACCCAAGCUAAUACCGCAUACACCUACGGGUAAAAGAUGGCCUCUUCUUGAAAGCUAUUACUAUAGGAUGAGCCCAUGUAAGAUUAGCUAGUUGGUAGGGUAAAAGCCUACCAAGGCUACGAUCUUUAGCUGGUCUGAGAGGACGAUCAGCCACACUGGGACUGAGACACGGCCCAGACUCCUACGGGAGGCAGCAGUGGGGAAUAUUGGACAAUGGGGGCAACCCUGAUCCAGCAAUACCGCGUGUGUGAAGAAGGCCUGCGGGUUGUAAAGCACUUUUAUCUGUGAGGAAGGGUUUAAUGUUAAUACCAUUAGACAUUGACG
rnacentral:rRNA from 1 species